rnacentral:lncRNA from 10 species
UCUAUUUUUAAUUGAGUUUUUAUUGAGAUAAUUAUAGAUUCACAUCUAGUUGUAAGCAAUAAUACAUGCAGCUCCCAUAUAUCCUUUAUGCAGUUUCCACCACUGGUAGCAUCUUGCAGUGCUAUAGUCCAAUAACACAAGCAGGUUAUUGACAUUGAAUCAAUCCACCUGUCUUAUUCAAGUUUCCCCAGUUUUUUGUGUACUCAUGUUGAUGCACAUGUGUGUUUAGUUCUAUUCAAGUUUAUCAAAUGUGAAGGCUCUUGUACUAACCAUCAGAGUCACAACACACACAACAACAAAAAUAUAAAAUAGGAAUAAACUUAAAAAGAAAUGUGAAAAAUCUACAAGGGAAACUUUAAAUACACCUGAAAAGGGACAAAAGCAGAUUUUAAUUAAAAGAAAUUCUUGUGUGUGUGUGUUUGUGUGUGUGUGUGUAUGUGUGUGUGUGUUUUGAGAUGAUGUUUCACUCUGUCACCCAGGAUGGAGGACAGUGGCAAGAUCAUGGCUCACUGCAGCCUCAAACUCCUGGGCUCAAACAGUCCUCUUGCCUGAGCCGCCGUUGGGACUACAGGCAUGUGUGACCACAGGCACGUGCAACCCUGCCUGGCUAAUUUUUUGAAUUUUUUUUGAGAGACAGGGUCUCACUUUGUUGCCCAGGCUGGUCUUGAACUCCUGUGCUCAGGCAAUCCUCCUACCUUCUCCUAAAGUCCUGGAGAUUACAGGCAUGAGCCAGUGUUUCCGGCUGAAAUUCUUUAUUCUUACAUAGAAUGACUCAACAUAAAAAAGUUAAUUCUCCCCAAGUGAAUAUAUAAAUUAAAUGUGAUCUAACAAAAAUCCAACAAGUUUUAUUUCUAGAGCUGUAUAAGUUGAUUC